rnacentral:rRNA from 1 species
AGAGUUUGAUCCUGGCUCAGAUUGAACGCUGGCGGCAUGCCUUACACAUGCAAGUCGAACGGCAGCACGGGAGCAAUCCUGGUGGCGAGUGGCGAACGGGUGAGUAAUGUAUCGGAACGUACCUUUCAGUGGGGGAUAACGUAGCGAAAGUUACGCUAAUACCGCAUAUUCUGUGAGCAGGAAAGCAGGGGAUCGCAAGACCUUGCGCUGAUUGAGCGGCCGAUAUCAGAUUAGCUAGUUGGUGAGGUAAAGGCUCACCAAGGCGACGAUCUGUAGCGGGUCUGAGAGGAUGAUCCGCCACACUGGAACUGAGACACGGUCCAGACUCCUACGGGAGGCAGCAGUGGGGAAUUUUGGACAAUGGGGGCAACCCUGAUCCAGCCAUGCCGCGUGAGUGAAGAAGGCCUUCGGGCUGUAAAGCUCUUUCAGCCGGGAAGAAAACGCAUGGGUUAAUACCCUGUGUGGAAUGACGGUACCGGAAUAAGAAGCACCGGCUAACUACGUGCCAGCAGCCGCGGUAAUAC